GGGGCUAUGGUCUAGUGGUGAGGACACCACCCUUUCAAGGUGGUAUCACGGGUUCGAGUCCCGUUAGCCCCACCA
rnacentral:tRNA from 1 species